UGAUUUCUAUUGUUUGGUUUAAAAUUAUGACUGUUAAUCAGAGGGUCGCUGGUUCAAGUCCAGCAGGAGGAGCCA
rnacentral:tRNA from 1 species